rfam:Bacillus akibai JCM 9157 DNA, contig:contig_4.
UAGUCCUUUAACUACAGUCCCGUGAGGCUGAGAAGGAAACGGUUUGAAAACAGAGGCAAAAUCUGUCUGUUUUCACUUGUGUUUUAACCUCUCAGUUCAUUUUGGACAGAGAGGUUUUUUCGU